rnacentral:rRNA from 1 species
UACGUAGGGGGCAAGCGUUAUCCGGAAUUACUGGGUGUAAAGGGAGCGUAGGCGGACUUUUAAGUGAGAUGUGAAAUACUCGGGCUCAACUUGAGUGCUGCAUUUCAAACUGGAAGUCUAGAGUGCAGGAGAGGAGAAUGGAAUUCCUAGUGUAGCGGUGAAAUGCGUAGAGAUUAGGAAGAACACCAGUGGCGAAGGCGAUUCUCUGGACUGUAACUGACGCUGAGGCUCGAAAGCGUGGGGAGCAAACAGG